AUUGAACGCUGGCGGCAGGCCUAACACAUGCAAGUCGAACGAGUGGCGGACGGGUGAGUAAUGUCUGUGAAACUGCCUGAUGGAGGGGGAUAACUACUGGAAACGGUAGCUAAUACCCCAUACCAUCAGAUGUGCCCAGAUGGGAUUAGCUUUUGGGUGGGGUAACGGCUCACAAGGGCGACGAUCCCUAGCUGGUCUGAGAGGAUGACCAGCCACACUGGAACUGAGACACGGUCCGAACUCCUACGUGAGGCAGCAGUGGGGAAUAUUGCACAAUGGGCGAAAUCCUGAUGCAUCCAGGCCGCGUGUAUGAGGAAGGCCUUCGGGUUGUAAAGUACGUUCAGCGGGGAGGCGUUACCCGCAGAAGAAGCACCGGCUAACUCCGUGCCAGCAGCCGCGGUAAUAC
rnacentral:rRNA from 1 species